rnacentral:rRNA from 1 species
CAAUAGCGUAUAUUAAAGUUGUUGCAGUUAAAAAGCUCGUAGUUGGAUUUCUGGUUGAAGCGACCGGUCGGGCGUUGAUUCGUCUGCACUGGAGUCGGUUUUGGCCAUCCUCUAGGAAAGUGCGUCUGGUAUUAAGUUAUCGGGCGUAUGAUCCUGGUCUUUUACUGUGAAAAAAUUAGAGUGUUUAAAGCAGGCCUUCGCCUUGAAUACAUUAGCAUGGAAUAAUAAGAUAGGACUUUGGUCUAUUUUGUUGGUUUGCAGACCGAAGUAAUGAUUAAUAGGGAUAGUUGGGGGUAUUUAUAUUCCGAUGUCAGAGGUGAAAUUCUUAGAUUUUCGGAAGAUAGACUUAUGCGAAAGCAUUUACCAAGGAUGUUUNCAUUA